GUCCCAGAUUUUGGGACGAAUAUUGGAUUCGUCCCAGAUUUUGGGACGAAUAUUGGAUUCGUCCCAGAUUUGGGGACGAAUCUAAAAUUCGUCCCAGAUUUG